rnacentral:misc_RNA from 1 species
GUUGGGGUACCCCAAUAAUCCAUUCCUAUAUUCAAAUUUGUAGCAGGACCUGUAACAGCUCCAGAAGCUUGAAUUGGUAUCAUGGACAUUGUUUGGUUCACCAAUGGAUGCGCAAGACUAUGUCCUUCAUUCUGAGAACCAUGCAUUAAACCAUUAGGAGUCCCUCCACCUUCUAAAGAAUCUUUCCCAGAACCAGAUUUUAGUUGUGAAUCAUUUUCAGAGUCAGCACUCAUUCUGAG